rnacentral:rRNA from 1 species
UACGUAGGGGGCAAGCGUUGUCCGGAAUCAUUGGGCGUAAAGAGCGUGUAGGCGGCCCGGUAAGUCCGCUGUGAAAGUCCAGGGCUCAACCCUGGGAUGCCGGUGGAUACUGUCGGGCUCGAGUCCGGAAGAGGCGAGUGGAAUUCCUGGUGUAGCGGUGAAAUGCGCAGAUAUCAGGAGGAACACCAAUGGCGAAGGCAGCCCCCUGGGUCAAAACUGACGCUCAUGCACGAAAGCGUGGGGAGCAAACAGG